CAGAUUCAAGGACAAAGUGCCUCUCACGCUCGUCCUCGUUCUGGGUGUGAUAACAUUAACUCACCUCCUGGCGUUCAUAGCCUUCUUUGCCAGUUCGAAACUUACUGCACAAAAUGUAACGUUGGGAUGCAUGAGACGGCACGGAAAUGCCACAUUUUGCCAAAGUUUGUACAUUACUACGACAAAUAGUGACAAGAAUAGUACUCUGAACUGGAAAGACACGGGAUGAAUGAAUGAAUAUGUACAUGUGUGGUCGUGCUAGUAAAAAUAUUGCCUCAAUUUGAAGCUUUUUGCCUGUAUUUCUUUAUUCCUCUGUGCUAAUUAGCUGAUUCCCGUUCAACUGACACAUAACAUAAUUCGAUCAACACUGGUCAACUUGGCGUACUGGACUCGUAAGUGUGCAUGCUUGUCGUCAAAUGCCAUGUCAAUGUAGCUAAAAUGCGGACCAAAAAUAAGAGAAUUAAUUCCAGGAUGGACGGCACAAACAACAGUUGUUUUAUUAAGUAUAAUUUCCUACCAUGUAAUCAGCAAUACUGAUGCUUAUUUAUUAUCCUCGUAACAUACAUAUUUAUAUUUAAUAGCAAACAAAUAAAGUUAUGACCUCUGCAUAAAAAAAUAAACUUGGUUCAAUUAAGUAAAAUUGUUAUUAAAACAAGAACAAAAACAAAGCAGGGAUGAGAAUAACAAGCUUAAGUAUGAGAUAAAUAACACGUAAUAAUAAUAUUUGAAAAUAUUAAUCAGGAAUUAUGUAGCAGCAGUAAUACAAAUAAUGAAAACAAGGAAAGAAAC